GCAAACUUGGUCAUUUAGAGGAAGUAAAAGUCGUAACAAGGUUUCCGUAGGUGAACCUGCGGAAGGAUCAUUAAUGAGUUGUGAUGGGGUUUGAUGCUGGCAGCCAAUUUCUUGUUGGAUGCAUGUGCUUGCCCCAAGCAAUCAUCUUCCAAACACCUGUGCACAUUUAUCGAGGGAUUUGUGAGUCAAUUGCCGUUUUUUGGGUGAUUUUUUUCAUCGCAAUCCCUUGAACAAAAUAUGUUAUACACCGUUGACACUGUUGAACGUGCUUUUGUGCCGUAAGGCCUCAAUAUAAUACAACUUUUAACAAUGGAUCUCUUGGCUCUCGCAUCGAUGAAGAACGCAGC
rnacentral:misc_RNA from 1 species